rnacentral:lncRNA from 1 species
UUAUAAAUAGACCAUUUUCAAGUUUUGGUCACAAAAAUAGACUACAAGGAGGAAAAUGACCAAAAUGUUUCAUUUAAUAGGUAAAAGGACACUAAUACCCUAGAUAUAUAAAAAUAUAAUUUUUUUUAUAGUUUUAGAUUAUAUGUUUUUAAAUUCCAACUUUUUUCUAAACUUUUUUUUGAAUUUUGUUUUUGAAUUUUUUUUUGAAGUUUUCUUUUUGUAAUUUUUUUUAAAUUUUUUUUUUUCAAAAUUUUAAUAUUUAAUUUUUAUUUUAAACCUCAAUACCAAAUCUCCACCCCUUAACUUUAAACCCUAAGGUUUGAAUUAGUUGACUCUAGGGGUAUAAGUGUAUAUUUACCUCUUUAAUGAAAU